CUUCUGGAAUGAGGGAACACAAAUCCGUUGGAUCUGUUGUAACUAACCUAAAACUGAACUCCCUUAACUCUUGCAUAUUUGCUAACAGAUCCCUCAGCAAUAAACUAAACACCCGUGCAUAUUUUACCCGUCAGAGGAAUCGAACUCCAGACCAGAGAAAUCAAGAUACCAGAGAAAUCAAUAUGUCAGCGGAGUCACAGUCAGAGAAAUCAUGCCAGAGGAAUCGAAUGCCCGAAUGCCAGAGCAGCGAAGUCACAUCACCAGAGAACUCAAGUUCAGAGGACUCAAGUCCAGAGCAGAGCAAAACAUCACCAGAGAA
rnacentral:lncRNA from 1 species